rnacentral:lncRNA from 1 species
GGGGAGGAGAUCAGGCUCGAGCCCGUGGACACCUGGCCCGUACCCCGGGGUUUAGAGCCCAGGGCAGUCGCAGUCACCCAGGCUGACUCGCGGGAGGGCUGCCGAUGUGCCAGGCUCUGCGGGGAGGGGAGGGGUCACAAACCUGCCACAGUCCCUGCACGUCGGGUCGUUGCCGGUGGAACUCCUGAGAGGGCACCAGACGUUGGAACCCAAGAGGCAUUUGGCACCACAACCCCCAGGUAGAAGAAAAAAGGAAAAAGGGGCCCAGGAGGACGCAGUCCUGCGAACCCCGCGAAGGCUUAUCUCCAGGGAGUAAAAGACUCGGGGACCCCCCGCCUUCCCGGACCUCAGGGCAUCUAGGGUCCUGCAGUCGCCUGGGGUGGUGACACCCGGAACGGUGUGCAGGCAGGGCAGGGCAGGCGGAGCCAGCACCGACCGCAUCUCCAGGGGAUCUUGCUUCUCAGAGAGGAGACUCUUCCCAGAAAGCAAAACAGGCGGGGACACCCUAGAUUCGGCAGCAGCUCCCAGGAGGAGGGACUGCAGGGACAGACUCGGGGCUUCCUGGUAGGCAGGUGGGUGGGAAACUGGCUCAGCCUCCACCACAGCAGCUUGAAGCACAGCCACCAGUGCCUGAGAAAGGACCUCUGCUCUUCCUAAAGCCAAGGAGGCUCCGUGAGGGUGAAGCGGGGCCAGACCCCACCCCAGCCACACAGGGCUUUGGCUUGCCGUCUUGACUC